CCUCGUGGUCAUGUUCUUCGAGUUCCUCCACUGUAAUUUGUCUCGGUUCAACCUUUCAUCUGACUUGUCAAGAAUUUUGUUGUUACUUGUUGUCAUGUUCGCUCCAUAGUAGAAUGGCUUCAGAUCUGAUUGCUUUUGAUUCCAUGUUUUUACUUUUUUUUUUUUUUUGCGGUGGGAUUAAGUUUAGGUCUCUGCAAGUCUCAAUAAUUUAUUUUUGAAAUGAUAUUUACACUUUAACUCAAAAAACCUAUGCUAGCUGGCUGCAUAUUAUGGAGAAAAAAGUUACAAUAAAUCUUCAGCAUGGUGUAUGGCGUACCAUCGAACAUGAAUUUCAUGGGACAGCUCGGAGUGGUGCAGUCAUAUAUGUAUUCUCAUACGACGGUAGAAUUGUCAUCUUUUAAAAUCGUCUAUAUAAUAUUUUUUAUCCAAACGUUAAAAAAAAGACCAGCUGGCUGCAAACAAUCUUUGACUCGCAUCGCAUGACUUUCAAAAUCCGUUUAAGAAGUAAAUUUCUCUUGAUUCGCAUCAAUAUAAUAUGUUCAUCUAAACUAAAGUACAAUUAGAACUUAACCCUGAUUUUUCCUUAAUAAUUACUAACUUGUGCCACUGGAAUCCCUUAUAUACUAAAGCACAAGUCAUAUGACCAACAAAAUUUUGACACGUGGAAUAUGUUCUACAAUUUAAAAGAAAAAUAAUUUAAAUGUAAAAACCUGAUCUUGUAUUAACUUAUUUCUUUUUUUUCUAUAUAAAAUAAAAAUUCCUAAUAUCUCUCACAAUGUGCCCAUGAUCCCACGAUCCCUAAUACUGUUAAUCAUUGUUUUUUUGAGUAAUCGAUUUAACUCAUAGUGCCAUAUAUUUAGAUUCAUUUGUUGCAUUCAGAAUUUGUAAAUUCUUAAAUUCUUUGCAGCACUCCAUUGAUCCUCUCUAAAUUUCAACUUCUAACCAGAUAGAUUAAAACUUUUAAUGAUGAAACCUUUUGCAGUUCCAAAUUCAAAUCGAAGUAGUUUUUGGUCAAACUUGCACAACAAUAAUCUUCAAGAAAAUGUUUCAAGGAAACGAGAAAAAGGACGCCAGUACGCUAUGGAUUGAUAUUUCGAAGUCUUAAGAUGAAGUUUGUUCAAAAAAAAGAGAUGAAGGUUAAAGUCCAGGUAAGUAAACGCCUAAACUCUUCAUGCUCAAAUAACCUUUUGCAUGAACCUUAUUCUCAUAUACUUGCAUAUAAUUUUUUUCUGCAUUCUAAACAUUGUCCAAACCUAGAUACUGCAUGUAAGAAGGAAAGGAUAAACAAAAUAUGUCAAUAACAUAAUUAAAAAGGACUAAUCAACUGUCGAUUUGCUGGAAUGAGUUUAUUUUUAUCGUGAUGAUAGACUGAUAGAGUGAUAGUUCAGGAAAAGAGAUUAAAAUGGUCUCAACUUAAAACACAUAUACAAAACCUGUAGAAUGAAAAGCACCACAAGAAGAAAAGAAAAGAAAAGGGGGGAAACAUGGAGAUUUAAGGCAGCAAAUGGAAACUCAGGGGAUAGAGAAAACAAAAGGAUUCAUGUCUACUAUCCAGAUUAAGAUCUAACUUGAUAGUAAGAUUUCCUUACUUUUAUUUGUGUGUUAGUAAUUUAUACAAAUGUUGUGAUUUUUUUUUUUAAAUUUCAGAUCAAAAUAUAUAUACUUUUAAUUAUUUUCUAUUUCUAUUUGUAGAUAGAAGCAAAAAGAAAACUCCAAGUAAGCAUAGCAAUGAAAAUAAAAAUAUAUAAAAGAGUAUUAUGAAGAAAUAAAAUAAAACCAUAAAAGAAGGGAAAUACUACAACGGGACUAUAUGCUUUCCCUCAAUCUUAUUUUUCAUAUGUAAUAAUUUUUUCCUGUUUUUGGAAGAAAGAUAUAAAAGGUUCAUUGUGGACUAUAAAGCGCAAUUUUUUCUUUUUUCUAAUUCUACCGAUAAAUAUAACCCUCAAAAUAACAUUCUUUCCAUUAUAAAUUAUAUUUUAAAAUAUAUAUUCAUUUCUAUUGUAAAUUAUAAAAAUAAUGGCCUUAUGCACGGGAGUAAUAUACUAGUUAAAGUUAAACCUAAAGUCUUAACUCAUUAAGGUUGUUUUAGUCUUUUCUUACAUUAACCUAAUUUUUGUUAUUCGAUUGAUUUAAUUUUAACCUUUUUGGCGACAAAGAUAACGAGGGAUGAAUGCCGGGGACAAUGACGAAGGUGUAAAUUCCUCUUAGCGGUGUUGUUCUGUUUAUCAACGUACGGUGGAUAGCACGAGGCAGAGCGAGAAACCUUCCUGUAUUAUUUCCCAUCGAAGCUCCGUAGAUCUCACAGUGUGAUCAUCUUUGUAACACUCCAUGUAAGAGGUUUAUGCGUAAAGGACAUUUGUAUCCACCUGUGCCGUCUGAGGAAGGAGAAGUUCAUGGAAAAGUUUGAUUUUUUAAUCAUUUUAGGAAGGAGAUGUUGUUGAGGGUAAUGAAUAUGAGAGAGUGACAGUUGGUGUUGAAUACGAGGACAAUUCUGAGAACAUGGCUGUGAAAACAUAUAAAUGGAUCAAUAACGAUUAUAUCAAAGGAGAGUAGGAUUUCCAGAUUUGACCUUUUUGUUAACUCAUAAUUGGUAAGAAAUGAGGCUUGAUUCUCGUGUUUGAUCGUGGUGUGGUGUCUUUUGGAUUUUUGUUUCUUUUGGUUAGGAAUGCAUGAAGAAACUUAUAGAUAUGUUCAAAGAAAUCAUGGAGUCGAAGAGAAAUCCUGGAGAGAAGGGAAGGUGUGACUAUAACCAUGUCCUAACCGAAGAGCAAGCCAAUGCUCCAUCAUUUUGAAUAAAAUAUGUGUUAAAAGGAUGUUGUCAUUUUCUCACUUAAUUUAUGAGUAUAAUAAAACCUAGAGAAUGAAAGUAUUGUGGAGAUCAAUGAAAAGAGUAGUAAUCAUACGUUGUUUUGUGGGUUGUAUUAUUGUGUUUAUAAGUUUUCUAGAGAUUUUGGCAUAUAUCUUGUGAAUGGUUUGGUUGAUGCCAAUGCUUAUGGUUUCUUUUUUUAAGGAUCAAAUUAAGUCUGAUAUACUCUGCUGAAAUAAUAAACUCAGAAUUAUUGACUAAUCCCUUUUAUAUUCUCAUCAAACUUAUUCCUACAAUAUAGACCGAAAAAUUCUAAGAAACAAACAGAAGGUCAAAGAGUUUGCUAAUGAGGCGUAUGCUGAGAAGAAACUUUGUAAAGAGACAAUGUAGAUAGGAAGUGUGAGCUACACUGCUCUGUAUGGAGAUACCUUUGAUUUAUUCUUUUUUGGUUUGUUUUUUUCAUGUUUAUUUUUUAGUUAAUCAUAAAAAAGAAAUAGGAAAAGUUUAGAUGACUGCACAAGAAUAAUAUAUUAUUAACAUAAAAAUUAAAAACAAAUAUUUACUUUGUUAUUAUAUUAUUAGUUAUUAUAUCUGCGAUAUAAAAUAUAUUGAAUUUAAAAAAAUUAAGACUACCUAACAAAAUAGUAUAUAAUAAAAAGACAAAACGAUAUUCAUGUACGGAAUUUAUUUAUUUAUAUAAAAGUAAAAUCAAAUAUUCGCAUGGGCAUGCGGGUCAAAAUCUAGUUUACUUUAAAACUCAAUCCAUAUACAUUUUUCCAAUGCGUGUUAUGGAACGUCCUAGUGAUAACGGUUAAUGCUUUGAAAAAGGUUUUCACUUUUCUCCAAAUAAAUCGUAUAAUCCUUGGGAUAUAUAGUUAUUUCAUCGAAUUCUUGUCUUGUUCAUGCAGUCUACGUACGUUACGAGUGUUGGGUAUAAGAACAUCCUGGGAGCGGAUGGGGUUAGAGGCAAAGCCCAAGAGUAAGCUGGAAAAAUUCUAAAAUAGCAAGGUUAACACACCUCUUGAAUUUAGCAUUUGCGUUACAGCGAUGUUACCACUUAGUACGUAUUUGGCACAUAUUGUGGCGCAUUUGGACGAGAAGUGGACUUUCGAUGCUUUCGCUGUCUUGGAAGUAUUUUUUUUUAAGAUUAUUUUUUUCGAUGUAUUCAUAUGUCAAGAAAAAAGUUUUAUUUAAAUGAGAAAUGGAAGUUUAAUAUAUGUUAUUUGAGAAACUUGUAUAAAAUAGUAAAUACACACAUUGGAUAUUUGAACUUAGAUUUGGGUUUUUGAUUUGUUAGUUGGAUUUCAUGUUCAUUAACUUAAUCUUAUAAACCAAAUAUAUGUUGAUAUUUUAUAUUGAUAAAAUAUAAAAAAGAAAUUCAUUUUAAAGUAUAUUAUUUUGUUUGAAUUGAUCAAAACAAUAAAAAUUUUACUCUUUAACUUCUCGGUCAAAAUGUGGAAUAAAUUCACAUACUAAUUGACAAUAAUUAAAGUCUCCAUUAGUGCGCCAUGAAGGUUUCAUUUUGUGUUGAAGAAUGAAAUUUGUGCUUCUCAUUAUUUUUCUAUAAAAGGGCAUGUAAGCAUUAUAGAAAAUAUAGACUUUUAACAACAAAACAAAUACCCUCCACUUGAAUAUUUUUUUUAGGUUUUGAGUCUGAGAGUACAACACAAAAUUAGGUUCGAUAGAUUAUGUUUUUCAGUGAUGGUAAACAGAAACAAUGCUACAGUUGUAUCCUGGGAAUCUGAGCACUAUGAAACCGUCAUACUAUGAGGCGUUUAAAGAUUUAAGGAAAGUGAUUAACCAUCUCGACUCUGCAAUUCUUCUUUAUUCUUAUAUUUUGGUAUUGUAAUUUUAAUUUAUGUUCUUAUUAUUAUUUACAAAUAUCAGUUGUCCUAUGGUAGUAAAAUAAUGUUCAUACACUCUUAAAUCUUUAAAUAUUGUUUAUGUUUCUACACUAACAAUAUUGAUAUUUAUUAAAAAUUGUUUUUCGAGAACAGGUUAAUCGAUUCAAUAACAUGUAUUCAAAGGAAGAAAGAGUUUUCUUCAUGGAUCAAUAGUUGUUGACUAUUCAGAUCCGAUUCAUACUAUGAUUUUUUGGAACACUUAAUUUAAUUAUUAAGUACAUGUGUAACCAAUGAGAAGAGAAAAAAAAAAUCAAGUUUAAGUAUGGUGAUACCAUAGUUAUAAAAAAAACAUUUUGAUCUUUGAGAGAUCAAGUUGUAUGGAUGGAAAUGGAUUUUGUGAGUCGACGCCCCAAAUUAAGUUUGGGAGAGGUUUGCCACAUAUAAGGUCUGCCACAUAUAAAUCAUUUGCCAUAGGAAAUCAAAUGUUUGUUGAUAUUGAUCAAAACAUUUUUAUUUCGUCAAUGCUUAAGUGCAACUUGUAAAAAGAUUGACCGUAGAAAAUCAAAUAAAAUUUUCAGACCAAUUUGACUAAAACUGACAUGUGUAUUGUAGUUUAUAAAGUCAAUAUGGUUGAGAAAAACCAUAUAGAAUGGUGGUUUUGAUGGUAAAAAUAAUAUCUUGUAAUGAUAUGUAUAUUUGCUAAAAAGCAAAAAUAUGUUUUGGAAAAAUUCAAAUCAUAUAUAAUUUGGAUUUACAAAUCAACUUGAGAAAACUCUGAAAAUAGUUAUAUGUAAAAUGUGAAUUUAUAAGAGUGAAAUACAUUUUAUAAGAAAAUUGUAAUAAUUUUCAAAAUUGCUUUUUAUUCAUUUAAAUCUAAAGGAGUUGUAGAUUAACUUUCUAAACUCUUAAGAGAUGUUAAAUGCAAAUAUGCAAAUUUUGAGUUAUCUCAAAAAAUGUGGGAGAAAUUUUGCUUACCAUAUAGAGUUAUUGGCAAGAAGCCAAAUGAACUUAAUGAUAGUUAUCACAAAAUGAUAUUUAAAAAAAAAAAAAAAAAAAAAAAAA